GAGAGUGAGAGAAAAAGAAAGAAAAAUGGGUUUUCUCUUCUCCCCUUCUCUCUCCCGUCGCUGUCUCUCUCUUCCUCCAUCUUCUUCUUUGGUUGUGCGACGCCAUGGAAGCCGAAGAAGCCGAAGCAACAGCAACAGCUCCGCCCAUCGUCGCCUCUCGUCGUCAUCGUCGCACGCCCGCAAGCACCGAAGCUGCUCGCGCACCCGAGCCGCCGCCGAGCUGCUGACCGCGUGCGUCCGCCCAUCUCCUCCCUCUGGUUCGAACAGAACUGACCAGUAAGAGUAGAAGCAGCGAUCGGCGCUGCUUGAAGGAGCUGCAAUCGCGCCGGAGCUGCCAUCGCCGCCGCACGCUGCCUCGUCACCGUCUGCUUCUCGCCUGCCGUGCACCGCCUGCCUGGGUCCAAACAAGCUGCUGUCCAGCCUCUGUUCCGCCCCUAUUCAGUCCCGUUCAGCCGCCUCCGGCCACCUCCCGACCACCUCCGACCACCUUUAGCCUCGCCGGAGCUCCGCCUUGCCCUCAGCCGCCCUUGGCCGCCUCAACCAGCCCCGGAUCUGCCCCGACCAGCAGCGAUCAGAGGGUUGCAGAAAAUGGGUAUCGCAGAGGGUUUUGGCCCGUUUUGGCCGUCUUCCCGAGCCCGGAUGCUCGGCCCGCUUUGGGGAAAGUCGAUCAUCGCGUCGAGCCCGUCGUUUUGAGUGAGUUUUACUCACUAAUGCCUUCUUAGUGCGCUAAUUAUACUUAAAGGUUGAUUAGUGUUAAUUAAGUGUAAUUAGGUUGUUAGAUUGUAAUUGAUUAGUG
rnacentral:lncRNA from 1 species